AGUGAACGCUGGCGGUAGGCCUAACACAUGCAAGUCGAACGGCAGCACAGUAAGAGCUUGCUCUUACGGGUGGCGAGUGGCGGACGGGUGAGGAAUACAUCGGAAUCUACUUUUUCGUGGGGGAUAACGUAGGGAAACUUACGCUAAUACCGCAUACGACCUACGGGUGAAAGCAGGGGAUCUUCGGACCUUGCGCGAUUGAAUGAGCCGAUGUCGGAUUAGCUAGUUGGCGGGGUGAAGGCCCACCAAGGCGACGAUCCGUAGCUGGUCUGAGAGGAUGAUCAGCCACACUGGAACUACGACACGGUCCAGACUCCUACGGGAGGCAGCAGUGGGGAAUAUUGGACAAUGGGCACAAGCCUGAUCCAGCCAUACCGCGUAGGUGAAGAAGGCCUUCGGGUUGUGAAGCCCUUUUGUUGGGAAAGAAAAGCAGCAGGUGAAUACCCCGCUGUUCUGACGGUACCCAAAGAAUAAGCACCGGCUAACUUCGUG
rnacentral:rRNA from 1 species